rnacentral:rRNA from 1 species
UACAUAGGUUACAAGCGUUAUCCGGAUUUACUGGGCAUAAAGCGAGCGCAGGCUGAUUAACAAGUCUAGUGUUAAAUGCAGUUACUCAAUAAUUGUAUGCAUCAGAAACUGUUAUUCUUGAGUGUGAUAGGGAGUUCUGGAACUCCAUAUGGAGCGGUGAAAUGUGUAGAUAUAUGGAAGAACACUCGUGGUGAAAACGAGAACUUAGGUCAUUACUGACGCUUAGGCUCGAAAGUGUGGGGAGCAAAUA